GACGAACGCUGGCGGCGUGCCUAAUACAUGCAAGUAGAACGCACAGUUUAUACCGUAGCUUGCUACACCAUAGACUGUGAGUUGCGAACGGGUGAGUAACGCGUAGGUAACCUGCCUGGUAGCGGGGGAUAACUAUUGGAAACGAUAGCUAAUACCGCAUAAUAUUGAUUAUUGCAUGAUAAUUGAUUGAAAGAUGCUACUGCAUCACUACCAGAUGGACCUGCGUUGUAUUAGCUAGUAGGUGAGGUAACGGCUCACCUAGGCGACGAUACAUAGCCGACCUGAGAGGGUGAUCGGCCACACUGGGACUGAGACACGGCCCAGACUCCUACGGGAGGCAGCAGUAGGGAAUCUUCGGCAAUGGACGAAAGUCUGACCGAGCAACGCCGCGUGAGUGAAGAAGGUUUUCGGAUCGUAAAGCUCUGUUGUAAGAGAAGAACGGGUGUGAGAGUGGAAAGUUCACACUGUGACGGUAUCUUACCAGAAAGGGACGGCUAACUACGUG
rnacentral:rRNA from 1 species